rnacentral:rRNA from 1 species
GAUGAACGCUGGCGGCGUGCCUAAUACAUGCAAGUCGAGCGAACGGACGAGAAGCUUGCUCUUCUGAUGUUAGCGGCGGACGGGUGAGUAACACGUGGAUAACCUACCUAUAAGACUGGGAUAACUUCGGGAAACCGGAGCUAAUACCGGAUAAUAUUUUGAACCGCAUGGUUCAAAAGUGAAAGACGGUCUUGCUGUCACUUAUAGAUGGAUCCGCGCUGCAUUAGCUAGUUGGUAAGGUAACGGCUUACCAAGGCAACGAUGCAUAGCCGACCUGAGAGGGUGAUCGGCCACACUGGAACUGAGACACGGUCCAGACUCCUACGGGAGGCAGCAGUAGGGAAUCUUACGCAAUGGGCGAAAGCCUGACGGAGCAACGCCGCGUGAGUGAUGAAGGUCUUCGGAUCGUAAAACUCUGUUAUUAGGGAAGAACAUAUGUGUAAGUAACUGUGCACAUCUUGACGGUACCUAAUCAGAAAGCCACGGCUAACUACGUG